ensembl:lncRNA
GAUCAAACUUUUUGUGAGUAUUUAGCCUUUGUUAAAGUAUUUUCUUUCUUCCUAGAUGUUGCCUCUUCCUGUAGUUAGGGGUAGAGGCGAGGUGAGUGUAGUAAGUGAAUACAAUGUGAUUUCGCUGUGCUAGGCUAGUUUGUUGUCUUGUUAUUUACAGUGUGUUGUUAUCUGUUCUUAUUUUAGUAAGUAAGAUUUAUAUUUUGAGCUCUCUGAAUGGAAACUGCCACUCCAACAUGAGCUGCAUGCAUUGUUCCCAUUAGACCUACAUCUUAUUGUACUUCUGAGUACCUAGAUACUGAAUAAAAGAAAAGGAGAAAUGAAGUAGACUAUAAUUGCUACUAAUGAAACAGGAAAAUGGGUGGAGAAAUAUAUGACAGAUACCAUUUUAAUGAAGAAAAGAACUAGCCAAAUAGGCUUCACACCCUGAAUUCAGAUCCCCAGAACCCACACAAAAGCUGAGUGCAUCCAGGUGGUACUAGCACACUCCUUUAACCCCAGCAUUUGGGAGGCAGAUCUCUCUUAGUUUGAAACCAGCCUGAUCUGUAGAGCGAGUUCCAGGACAGGGAACCCUGUUUCACAAAACAAAACAAAGAAACAAAAAAAGCUAAGUGCACUAGGCCAGGUACCUGUAUUCCCAAAAUGCCUACCUGAAACAGGAAGUAGAUAGGAGAAUGUCCAGAAGCUCAUGCUCAUUGAAUGGCGUAUGUAUUAACAAAGAGGUACCAUGGUAAACAAAGUGGGAAGGUGAGGGCCCACCAAAACCCAAAGGUUCAUGCACCAUGGCAGGUAUCCACUUACACUCACACACACACACACACACACACACACACACACACACACACACACACACAAAAGAGAAAAAAUCAAAAGUAUUAACACAACCAUCUUCCAAGAUGAUGGAAUGCAACUCGAGAACAUCUUAUAUACUCUUAAGUGAUGACUCUCAUCCUAAAACUUUAGAAUCCUCCAUGGGUUUGUCUUGAUGGAGGAUCUUGGACUAAAGAUUAAAAGAGGACCUGGAAAGAUAACUCAACUGUUGUGAGACUUGCUGCUUUUUCAGAGGACCUAGGUUCAGUUCCCAGCACCUACAUGAUGACAUGUAACUCCAGCUCUGGUGCCCUCUUCUGGCCUCCAAGGGCGCAUGCAUGCAUGUAUACAUACACAGUCAUACACACCUAAAAUGAAAAUAAUCUUUGAAGCUUAAAUGAAAUUUCUGUUAACUUUUAGAUACUAUUAUUUGUUUCGCUGGAUGCUUCUUGAAACAAAGCUAUAAAUUGUAAUAGUUUGAUCCUUUAAAAAUAUUUAAAUUACUUUUUCAAAAUCUAGAAAAAGUAUUCUUACUAAAUUCAGUUGAGUUGUCCUAAUAGAAACAGUCAACUUAUUCCCAUCUUAAUGUUUUAGUUUGGCUCUGAAACACUUAGCACAAUGUAGAUUUCUUCCUUACAUAAUAAAGUCACAGACUAUCAGAGCUAGAAAUGACCUUAAGAGAGUCACUUAUUCACACCACCACCACCACCUUCAUUUUAUUGUUGAGGCAACACCUCAAAGGAGAGGUGAUUGGCUCCAGGUUAUAUAGCUAAUUAGUGAUAGAUUCCUUACUGGGACAUAGUUUGGAGUUGAAACCUUCAACUAUGAGAUUAUGAGCCUCACCAUACCGGCCGCUUGUCCUUGAAGUCUCAGGUGUUUUUCAACUGUUCAUUCUAUUACACUCUAUUUUCACUGCACAUUAAGUGGUGCUUUAUAAUUUCUGUAGUAGGACCAUUGUUCAUACUUUCAAAUUAAACAGUAUGACAAUAAUGCUUGAGUGUUAAAGUUCUCUUUUGGAGACUGAAGUUUGCAGAUGUGAGUGCACAUGUUUGGCAUUUACUAUGUGCUUAUGUAUUAUUAAUGGACAUUUAAGAUUACUGUUUGGUCACUGUCUAUACUUACCAACAAACCUGCAUUUUUAAUUUGAUGUAAUAACGGCAUAAUGUAAUUUCUGUUUUUGCAUUUUUGUUAUCCUUUACCCAAAAGACUGACCAAUUGCUUUGUCAUAUUGU